ACUGUAUGUAGCAUUUUGCAAAACAAAUUCCAAGUGUUGUCAUGUUCACUGGCUGGAUUUUUGUCAUUAAAUGUUGAGAGUUAUGUAAUAGGAAGUGUGCCAAAGAGUGUUCUUUAUUCAAAAGUAUUACUAUUUUUUUUAGUGCAUUCCUAAAUCUUCACAAUGGUUUUUCACCUAGUAAGGUUAUGCCAAUAUGAUAUCUUUGCACUCUUGGAGCUAACAAAAGCCCCAGUCUCAAGAGGGAGGCUAUGCAGCAUUCCAGGCAGUGUCAUUUCCUUCUGUUAGAAAUGGAAACAGAGAAAAAAAACACCUACUUCAUUUGCUUUUCAUAAUUUUCAAACAUAAUCAGAUCCUCUUAACCAAGUAUGGCAGGAAAGGAAGACGACGACAUAUUAUACUACUAUUGCAUUUUGUUUGCCUUUAGAUAGUUUUAAAAUAAGUGGUUAAAAAUACAUUAUGCCAAGUGAAAUCUGCUUAAGACAAGGGCUGAAUAUUGCCAUUGCCAAUCAUAAGCUAUAAGGUAUAAACAAUCUUACCAUGGUCAUAUACGCUUGUCAAAGAUAUAGAGGACACUACAAAUUUUGGGAGUUAGGGCUGGUUCCUCAACAAGUCUUUGAAACCAACUGGCCUAUGCCCUAUGUAUUGCAGUACAGUAAGUACAGUAGUUUUUUAAGAUUUAUGUGUAUUCUGUGGUGGCAAUUGCCACCUGCCAGCACCAUCAUAUACCAUUAGGUGAUACAUGUACAGUCAGAUUCCUCAUCAGAAAAAUAAUUUUACAGUGUCAUUGUCUUCGAAUGCUUUUCAAAUGCUUCAUGUUCUUUUCUUUGCACCUAAAUUCUUCAGGCAGAGAACAGAAGGAUCCCGCUGCCCUAUGGUGCUGAGGUAUUGACAGUAACAAGGCAAAUUCCCACCAGCCUUGCCCAACUUCUAAAACCCAUGUUGUCUGUGGUUUUGGAGGCCCACUUUAAAGAAGUUAAGAAAGAAUAUAUUUCUGUCUAAUGGUCGGUCUGCUACUACUAUUCUGUGCUUACCUCCUGCACUGUCCUCCCUGUAACUCUCCUGCAAUUUUCAGUUCUUUGAGGAGAACCUUAAACAAUGUCUACGACUCCAUGGAUCCGACCUAAGGCUAAAGUUGUUGCACCUCUCUGGGUUAAAGAUAGUUUUUGCCAAAUAUACUGACCUCUGGAAUAUUCUUCUGCGGUACUAUUAUUGACCCUGAGGUGCCCAGAAAUUAGAGACUCGGGGGCACUAUAUCCAUUUAUCCUGGCUUUUCAGCCUAGUCUGGUUUCUAGAAGGGAGAUAGCAAAGAGCGCACUGUGGGAAUGGAUGCAGGUAGUCUGGGGAGCAGUGUGGCCGGGGCGGGCCAAGGUCUGGGCACACUCUCCUAUCACUCUGAAAGAGUUGUCCCCACACCCCAACUUUCCCGUACUGCUUCCUUUGUUCUUGCCUUGGCUUUUGUGUCCUUUUAGAAAAUGCCAGUUCUGUUUCAUAGUUUGGGUUUUUUCUUUAUUCUAAAGAAGCAUUGAUCACUUGUUACACAAGGAGACACAUUCAUGCCCCAGGAAUUCUCUGAAGACAUAAGGAGCUUACCACAGGGUAAUGAGCAGGUGAGGCACAGUACUACAACUUAUCACCUUAUCUCCCAGUUUAUAUAUGUUACUAUAUAUAUUUCAUAUCAUAUAUAUGGCAUAUAUAUGUGUUUCAUAUGUAUAUAAGAUAUGUAAUGGAAUAUAUAAUCUUUUGUACAUAUGUAAGAUAUGUAAUAUUAUAUAUAUAUGGAAGGAAGAGGAAAGUUUAGUGGGAAUAUAUGAAAUUGGCCAGGCGCAUGGCUCACACCUGUAAUCUCAGCACUUUGGGCAGCCUAGGCAGGAAGAUUGCUUGAACAGGAGUUCUAGAACAGCCUGGGCAAUGCAGAGAGACCUUGUCUGUACAACAAAUUUAAAAAUUAGCUGGGCAUGGUGGCACACGCCUGUAGUCCUAGCUACUAGGAGUUUGAAGCUGCCAUGUGCUAUGAUCACACCAGUGCACUCCAGCCUGGGCAAUAGAGUAAGACCCUGUUGAGAGAGAGAGAGAAAGAGAGAGAGAGAGAGAGAGAGAGGUAGAAGGAAGAGAGGGAAGGAGGGAAGAAACAAAGAGAAUGAAAUCACUAUUUUUGUAAGUCAAAGGUGACUGCUGGCAACAUUAUAUGGUUCAACCAUGCAAUAAUUUCAGUUUUUGCAUCCCAUGCUACAGACUGCUUAUGUGUUAACACGAACUAACAUGUAUUAAGCUCAUACAAUGUGCCUGGCACUAAGUGUUUUACCUACAGUGUCUCAAUGCUUUUAACAACGCUUUGAGGCCAGGCAUAGUGGUUCACACCUGUAAUCCCAACACUUUGGAAGGUCGAGAAUAACUUGAGCCCAGGGGUUACAGAAUAGCUUGGGAAACAUAGCAAAACCCCAUCUCUACAAAAAAAAAAUUUAAAAAAUUAGUUGGGCAUGGUGGUGUGCACCUGUAGCCCCAGCCACCCAGGAGGCUGAGGUGGGAGAAUCACCUGAGCCCAGCAGGUCAAGACUCAAGUGAGCCCUGAUUGUGCCACUGCAUUCCAGCCUGGACAACAAAGGGAGACCCUGUCUCAAAACAAAACAAAAACAAACAAACAACAACAACCAAAAAAACCACAAUCCUGUGAGGUGUUAUUAUUUGCACACUUUUUUCUGGUUCACACAACCAGUAAAUAACCAGAUUGAGAUUUACAUGCAGCCUCCCUAUCUCAUCAAACCUUUCAGGAAUCUGACACACAAAUUUUUCCAACCAUCCCUACCCCUUAAGGUUUACUCCUUCAUGUACUAUGAUUCUAGAAGGACAAACUUUUCUGUGAAUUCAGGUUGGGUUAAAUACAGUUGGGCCACUCAAAUAGGGCUUAUGGAUAUCAUUUCAGCACAGCCGGCCCCUAAACCUCCUGAUUAGAUCAGAAACAACAAGCCACAUCCUGCUUUAUUGGAGACUCAUCUUUCCUCAGGUCCAUCAUUUCCUCCGAUUUUCACUACUAUAAGGUGAGUAUUUUGGCUCCCUAUAGGAUACAAUGGGGAAGAGAAAUGAUUUGGUGUGUAUCCACUUCUCCUUCGAUAUUUAAAAGACAUGUUUUCCAGCUGGGCACAGUGGCUCAUGCCUGUAAUCCCAGCACUUUGGGAGG
rnacentral:lncRNA from 10 species